rnacentral:lncRNA from 1 species
CCAAGGGCUUCACGUGUAAUCUCAUUUAAUUCUCACAAGAGAUGCAGAGAGGUGACGUGACUCAUCAGGUGACAUGACUCACCAGGUCACCUAGCUGGUAAGGGAUGGAACUGGGUUGUGCAUAGAGGCCUAUCUGUGUCCACAGGCAGGCUCCCAGCCACCACCCUCCAGUUCCGUGGCCCUGCUCUGGGACGUGGGAAGAUAAGAAAGAAGAAGGGUGAGUCGGUAUGGUCGUGGAGAGAUUACAUUUUCAGGAAAUGAGGGCUCAGAACAAGGCCUGGCCUAAACAUGGCUGCAGGAGUGGCAAGAGAUAGGAUCAGAGGGAGGAUGGCCUCAGAGAGUGUGGGGAAGAACUUGUGCCCAGAAGAGUCAGGGCAGGACUGGCUGGGCCCUGACGUAAGGCCUCUUGCUCAGAGUCACAGGCAAGAUCAAGUGACCUCUCGAGGUUUCAAGACACGAAGAGACAAAGCCCAGAGCAGCUGCGGCCUGGUCCAGGCCCGGGCAUGCCUGCUGACCCCGGCUGGAUGGUGGCCUUGGAAACUGCUUCCUGCUUCAGUCAGGCCCUAGCCGCGUAACCUUGGAGGACCUGUGACAUUUCUCUUGGCCUCAGGCUCCAGGACUCAGCUGCUCCUCGUUGUCCCACCUACUGGUCCCACCUACUUUGCUCUCUCCCAGGCCUGGCUGUGGACCUGGCCCCUCCCAGGUCAGGAUCUCUCUAGUCCAAGAACUUGGAGCACUGUUGCCCUCACAGGGAGGACAGUGGGUGACACCCUCACAAACGAGAAAAGGGGCUCAGACUCUGGAACCUCCAAGUCCAAUUUCCAACAGUGUGGUUGGGCCGUGGCUCCUGGCACCCACUUGGAGAUGCCCACCAGAAGCCCCCUCCCUCCCUCCCUUACUGAGGGUCAGGCUAGCCGAGCCUUCCCCGCCCUGGAGACCUCCCAGCUGGGGCCUGAGGGUGUGAUCUUGGCAGAAGAGAAAAACCUCCUCUCCGGUGGUGGCUUCUGUUCAACCCACCCGUGAAGACCUCUGGGCACGUCCUCCUGCCAGGCCUCCUGAGGCUGGCCACUGCUCUCUUUUGCAGCCUCCAGGAUCUGAGGGAAACAGCUGGCUCCCCUCCUCACCACACCCCGGCGGCCAUUCUCUUGGACCCCUCCCAAGGGUACCACCUAGCCCUGGUCUGUGGACAAAGUCAAAGGGGGGCCUUAUCUCUCAGGAUCUGUCCCUCAGGGACUAGUCAUCACCUCUGUCCACCUCCUUCCCUUCAGCCGCCUACCUGCCCACACAGUAACACCUGAAUAUCUUCUUUCAACCUGAUCCCAGGCACAAUAUCAUAAUACAAAUAACAAUGAUGGCAAUAAUAAUGGCAGCUGUCACUCAUUUGGCAUCAUUUAAAUAGAGGCACAGAGAGGUUAAGUUAUGCCCUUAAGAACAAACAGCCAUCUCAUUCAAUUAAGCUGGUGUCUGAAUUUAGGUUGGGCUUCUGUAAAUCAAACUUCUUUGGUGUCCAGAGAUUCAGCGCCCUCCCCUGCAGCCUCCUACAACGGUCCUAGUCCCAACCAUCAGUUCUAAUUUUUGACUUCUAAUCUAUCCUCCUCUCAGCUUCUAGUCACCACCUCCCACCAACAGCCAUCCAACUAGAUGCACUACUCUCCCUCGCCACUAGGUGUCCCCUUGGAGCCACUGAUGCCCCCAAGGGGAGCUGGCCCUGCCCCGCCCCCUGGGGCCAUCAGGGCCCCCCCACAGCACAGCACAGCAGUGCACACCCCACCCCACCCUACCCCCAGCCACACAGAGCUCCUUUGUGCAACCCUCGCCCACCCCCUUCCUCCCUGGAACAGGGCACCUGGCAAGCAGGUCUGCCCCAGAACCGCCCCCUGCCAGCCCCCUGCCCUGGGUGCCAGGUGUGUGGGCGCCACCGCCAGCUCUGGCUGGACCCGAGGGUCACCCUGCCGGCGGCCCUCCCUUCCUCCCUCCGAGGUCACCCAGGGACUAAGCUUCCCGCCCUGCUCCGCCCCCCUCCCCUCCUGCCCUUGGCCCUUCCAGACUCCCGUCCUUGUCUUUCCUUCUGUCUCCCGGAGGACUCCCCUCCUCCAGCCCCACUAGGCCUUCCCUGCAGCCUCUCACCCCCGCCCACCUCCUUCCCCAGAGAGCUCCUUGUUCCACGCCCCCCCGCUCCCCGCCCAGGUCUGAAGAACUCCUCCUCCUGGAAAGUUGCUGCUGGAAAGGAAGUGACUUCAGCAAUUUGGCCACAAGGCUGGGCACUGCUGAGCCCAGCUCAGCUCAAGGCUUGCCCAACCCACCUCCAAAGCACAAAUGGAGCCACAUGUGCACAUCACUCCCACUGUGCACCCAGAACCCUGAGCACACACUUAGCCAGUGUACACACAGAUCCCCGUGUGCAUACACCGUACCAUCGCAGUGUAUUCAGAUCUUGUCUAUACACACAUCUCUCCAGUGUACACUAGCACCCUUGCACACAUGACAUCCAGUGUGGCACACACAGUAUCCCCACACCUGCCCAGUACACACCCAGAAUCCUGCAUAUUCAUACUUCCGGGUACCACAUACACAGCCCUUGAACGCUCCCCAGCCCAGUCCACUUACACAACUCUUGUAUAUUACCCCAUGUGCACGGAAGGACAGAGCCUUCCACACACACCUGCUUGCACACAAGCUUGAGUGCCCUGUACAUUUACAUUCGGAUACACACAGCCUCGCAUCCUCCCACAGCUGUACCUCCCCACCCUUACAAUCCCAGGAGACUCCACCCCCAGACCUCAGGCCCCAGGAAUGCUCCUUUGGAAGUAGGGUGGGGUCCCCAGGCAGGCUCAGCUCUAGGGAGCUUCCUGGAGCCGCAGGCUUCAUGUGUCAGUUCAGGGAGUUGCCUCUGCAGGGCAGGGCAGCUUCACCUGGCUCUGCAGCUCCUGAGCCUGGGUGGGCUAACCUGGGCCAGGAGUAGGGAGGUGGGUCCUGCCACUGCCCCCGCCCCCUCCCUGUCCUGCAAGGGCACCUUAGCAUACCUGGGCUACCCAGGCCCUCCCAGCACC